GAUGGAUUAGCAGGGUACACACAUAAAAUAUAAAAGUAGCAUGGAAGCCCAACAUAUCAAAUUGUACAUCCAGGGGAAUCCCAGACCCUGGAAGUAGGAGAGAGAAUCUGAUCCUGGGCACGUCAACACUGAAGAAAAAAAGAAAACAUGAAAUGUUGGAAAAUGCAGACAGUUUCUCCUUACACAGGUCAUCAAUUGCUAUGAGUCAGAAGAGGAAAAUGGAAUUCAGGAUGCUGGGCAAACAUUAAUAUUACUCACAAAUGAGCUGUAAAUUUCCCUGUUAAAAAGGUAACAAGAAGUUUAUAUGAGAUGUUUGAAUGGCACAAUAUUAUUCAGGAACUGCUUGCAAUUGAAUGUGGCACCUAUGAUAACAUAAGUUCAUGCAUUGUACAAAAGCAAGGGGAAGUACCAGUAAAGUACUAUAUAAUACUUAUUAUGAAACAGCAAGUUAAAUAACAAAUUCUGGAAACAAAUAAAACUUUGUUUAGUAUUGCUA
rnacentral:lncRNA from 1 species